AGUCCGGUACCAGAUGUUCCCACCGCACAAAGGAAACACGCGAAUCGACCAGCCCCUCCGUUACCCUGGUCUCGCUGUGCCCGUGUAGUGGCUGCAGUUUCUGGCGGCGGAUGCGUCGACGGCGUCCCUCUAUGGUGAGUCUCUCGGCGCAGCCCCUUACCUGGCUCUCCACGUGCUUAAGCGUUGGCGGAGCGCCCUGCACUGACGCAGGUUCAUUCCUCUGGUAGCAUAUGGGUCAAAUCGUCCGCGGGUUCGUACGCCUCCUCUGGCUGACUCUUGUCAUUAUGCGCAAGCGGCCGCAGCAGCAGGGGAAUGAGGCCUUGCUUCACUCCGUCGUCAAGCCGAGCAGUAGACAAAGCAGGGGAUCUCACCGAGGCCUGGCACGCUACCGCUGUUGAUGCCUGGGUCUCCUAGGCGGCGAGAGGCAGAGGGUAGAUGGAGAACUGGAGAAGGGGAUCCCAAUUAGACCUGUCGCACCAGGCAGGUCCUCCAGCGUCCCAGCAGUCCCCUCCUCCCCCAGUUGUCCAGAUCAAAUUGCAUAAAGUGAACUGUUGGAUGCCGUUGUCUGGAUCAUAUUUUUGCUGCAUCACCGGCACAACAUCCGUACUCUGCUUCCAAGCUCGCCGAUUUUGACGUUGAAGUCUGCAGCGUCGACGAUGAACUAGCAGGUCACGUGCGUCUGCCUGCAACAGUCGCGCACGGCCUCAAGAAAAAAUCUCGUUCUAUUGCAACAGGUGGAUAUUAAGUUGGCAUCACCUUAUGUCUUGCAACGUGUUCCAGUGGCCAGGGAAUGGAUGUAUACGAUGUAUUUGACUUUGAUCCAUAGCUUUCAUGUAGAGUAAAUGAAGAACAUGCCAUGACACUUGAUUUUCAGUAAGAACUAAGAACUGAGCUGAGUACUGACACCAAUAUUUCCUUGCUUGCUUAUGAUGGAUUUUCUAUGGUCAGCUAUAGUGCCAUUUUUUGAUUCUUGCAUUCUUGAUGUGAGCCUAGACCAAAUGUUCCUCCACCUUCUGCUCAAUCAUUUGUUCUUACAAAAUAAGGUAAUCAUAGAAGCUCUUUAAUAUUAAUGGAAGCUUCAUGAAAAAUUAUGUUACGUAUUUUAAACUCUUGAAAUACCAAUUCCAUUUUUAGGUGCUACUGAAGUUGAUAUGGGUUGACUCAAGCUCCACAAAAUCAUAAUAACAUUGUCUUGCAUGGUCAAGAACUGAUGACCUUGAGGACCAACAACAUCAGUCAUAGUAAUCAUCCUAAAGUGACUGUUCAUAAGCCUAUGAUGUGGUCACCAGCCCCCAACAUUUAAUAGAACAAUGCCCUAAUGUUUCACUAGAGGUCCUCUAUGGAAGGUUGGAUGCUGCCGGAAGUGCCUGAAACUGAGUUUAAGGAUGUUAAUUCUGUUAAUCAUUAAUCUUUUGGUGAUUCCCUGGGAUAUUUCAUGUAGGCCUUUGGUGGGACCGCUAACUGUCUUAGUUCAUUCAAAACCCAGUUCUAGGUUGAUGCGAGCAAAGAAUUAUUCAAGCACUUGAGUUACCAAGAACGGUUGAUUCGUGAACUGGAGAUCUUAUUUUAUUGUAAGUAGUGUCCAAAACUUUCUGGGAGGUUAAUCAUGUAGUUGAUACUUUGUCGUGUAUGUAUAAAAACAUGGCCCCUGAGUUGAGAAAUAUAUUGAUUCUUUUCUGAAGUUUCAAUAUUGUUUUUCUGCAUCACAGAAAGCUCUUUUUAUCUUAGUGUAAACUUCAUGAAAAAUACAUAGCUAUCCUGGCUCCCGGCGCAGCGGCCGGUUGGUCGUCUCUGCGUGCCCAGCUUUCUGGCCUUACGGGCUACCUUGACUGACGCUCCGCUUGCACGGGUGGAGAGGCUAGCCAUUUUUUUACCUGAGUCGGCGCAUUGGCGGUUGCAUCGAGGACCCUCCGUGUCAGUUCGUGGGGUACCCACACUACAUCGUGUGCUAUCUCCGGCAUACUGUUUUGUGCCAUGGGCUUGACCAGGAGGCAUCUGGUGCUGCAGACUAGGCUGAGCAAGUAUCAGUUUUAUGGAAUUCUUUUUCCAAGAUAUGCCAAUUUUGUUUCCAUUAAGAACCAUCCAUUGCCCCUACUAUGCUUGAGACACCUUAUGAUAUUUAUGUGAGCUACUGUAGUGUCUACAUAUUUUCAAAUGACUUCCCAAUUUGAUCAGCAGUUCAGACUUGGGGUGCUUUAUAUUGCAUUCAAAGGAUGUUUGAGGAAAAGUUAUGUCCGCAGGGAUGUAUAUAAUAGCUCUAGGCGUCGGUGGCCAAAUGUAGCAACAGAGCCAAGGAAGGAGCAUGGACAUCUUUGCAAUGGCUAGAAAAGGCAUGGAUGUCGAGUGGGUAGUAUGGAUUUACAUGGCUGUUGCCGAUUUGCUGAGAUUUUGGAACUAAAUCAUUCCAAGAUGAACACUAAGAAUAUGAUGGAAGAUAAGAAUUUGCACAUAAUUUUCGCAAUCCUGCGGCUCUGAUUCAUUUCCCUUCUCGGAGCCGCCGCGGCUCUGGAGUUCGGACUCUCAAAAUUACGGUGCACUUUACCACAUCGUAUCUGAUCAAGUUUCUCAGGUUCAGGAAAAUGCAGAUUGGAGGUUGAUACCACUUGCUGAUAAAUUUAUCAUAUUCAGUGCCUUGAAUGAAACCUCUUCGAUUUUAUGUCGAUUGCAAAUCUUUUUCGUUCACACCAUUCCCUGCUGAACACUGUCAUCAACUACUUAACCUGUAGGUAACAAAGACAUAUUGCUCUCUUUUUUGGUCAAAAAAGGUACCCAGUAUAUGAUUGCAUGGUUCGAUUAGCUACAUAAGGGACUAUUGUUUUGACUACCAGUAUGGUGUAAAAAUAUUUUCCCUCUUCCCCGGUGAAGCAAAGUUGAAAUCCAUUUAGUGGUUUUUUGGUCGCAUAUAACCUUGCCAAAGUGCAUGGUUCUCGCAGCAUGGACAUUACAGUGGAAUGUAAAAUCAAGCUCACUAACUAGAAGUACCUUUGA